UCGGGUGACAGGGAGACAGGUGGUGCAUGGUUGUCGUCAGCUCGUGUCGUGAGAUGUUGGGUUAAGUCCCGCAACGAGCGCAACCCUUGUCUCUAGUUGCCAGUAUUAAGUUAGGGACUCUAGAGAGACUGCCUCGGUUAACGGGGAGGAAGGUGGGGAUGACGUCAAGUCCUCAUGGCCUUUAUACCCAGGGCUACACACGUGCUACAAUGGGCUGCACAAAGGGUCGCUAGCUCGCGAGAGUGCGCUAAUCCCAAAAAGCAGUUCUCAGUUCGGAUUGGAGUCUGCAACUCGACUCCAUGAAGUUGGAAUCGCUAGUAAUCGUGGAUCAGCACGCCACGGUCGAAUACGUUCCCGGGCCUU
rnacentral:rRNA from 1 species